rnacentral:rRNA from 1 species
AUUGAACGCUGGCGGCAGGCCUAACACAUGCAAGUCGAACGAGUGGCGGACGGGUGAGUAAUGUCUGGGAAACUGCCUGAUGGAGGGGGAUAACUACUGGAAACGGUAGCUAAUACCGCAUACCAUCAGAUGUGCCCAGAUGGGAUUAGCUUGUUGGUGGGGUAACGGCUCACCAAGGCGACGAUCCCUAGCUGGUCUGAGAGGAUGACCAGCAACAUUGGAACUAGGAAACGGUCCAGACCCCUAGGGGAGGCAGAAGUGGGGAAUAUGGACCAAUGGGCGCAAGCCUGAGGCAGCCAUCCCGCGUGUAUGAAGAAGGCCUUCGGGUUGUAAAGUACUUUCAUCGGGGAGGCGUUACCCGCAGAAGAAGCACCGGCUAACUCCUUGCCAGCAGCCGCGGAAUUC